UACGUAGGGUCCAAGCGUUAUCCGGAAUCACUGGGCGUAAAGCGUGCGUAGGUGGAUGUUUAAGUGUGAUGUUAAAUCGUGUGGCUCAACCAUAUCGAUGUGUCGCAUACUGGGCAUCUAGAGGACAGCAGAGGCAAGUGGAACUGGUAGUGUAGCAGUGAAAUGCGUAGAUAUUACCAAGAACACCAAUGGCGAAGGCAGCUUGCUGGGCUACUCCUGACACUGAGACGCGAAAGCGUGGGGAGCAAACAGG
rnacentral:rRNA from 1 species